GGAGAGGUGGCUGAGUGGCUGAAAGCGACGGUUUGCUAAACCGUUGUACGGACUAAUCCCCGUACCCCGGGUUCGAAUCCCGGCCUCUCCG
rnacentral:tRNA from 1 species